rnacentral:lncRNA from 1 species
UCCCAGAGAUACCCAUAACUUAAAAUGCAGGAACCAAGAGAUUUGAGCCUAGACAUUUGGAUGAAAAGCGAUUUCCACCUGGAGAAAGUCACUGCCCUUCUGUGCAGAGUACCAUUGUGUCUUGAAUCCAGCUUGGCCAUAAGGAAAUGGGGCGAGACUUUGUCAUGUAUGUCGCUGAAGUUCAGCUAUGCAAAAAUGUUCACCUAUCCUUGAUCAACCAGUCCAGGAACCAUCAAAGAAGAAAAUGAGAUUCGACUUAGAAGACCUGUUCUUUAUAAACCCCUGCACAGCCCUAAUGAUCAACACCACUUCCAGUGCUCAUAAAUUACUGCUUCAAUAAUUGUUCU